rnacentral:rRNA from 1 species
GAGUGCGCGUGCCGUAGCAAUACGGUAUGGCGCACGGCGCACGGGUGCGUAACACGUGGGCAAUCUGCCCUCCGGUGGGGAAUAACCCCGCGAAAGCGGGGCUAAUUCCGCAUAACAUUCUCUGGACUUCGGUUCGGAGAUUCAAAGCAGCAAUGCGCCGGAGGAGGAGCCCGCGCCCGAUUAGCUAGUUGGUGAGGUAACGGCUCACCAAGGCAAUGAUCGGUAGCUGGUCUGAGAGGAUGGCCAGCCACACUGGAACUGAGACACGGUCCAGACUCCUACGGGAGGCAGCAGUGGGGAAUCUUGCGCAAUGGGCGAAAGCCUGACGCAGCGACGCCGCGUGGGGGAUGAAGCUUCUCGGAGUGUAAACCCCUUUCGACCGGGACGAAUGCCCGCAAGGGAGUGACGGUACCGGUAGAAGAAGCCCCGGCUAACUACGUG